rnacentral:lncRNA from 1 species
CACUGGUAAAAUUAAAAAUAGUAAAUAUGGCGGCAUUAAGAGCGAAGAUACUGCGGAUACUGACAAAAUAUGACACUCAAAUAAACGCUCGCCUGCCUCCUGUUGGCCAACGAUUUUGGAAUCACGCUGCAGGUAUCUGUAUUGAAUGAUUCUGUUCGUUUUACGUUCGUUUCUAAAAUAUUACAAUAUGUGGUUUCAUGUAUUUUGUAUUUUGGACACUAGUAUGAGUGUAUAUGUUCAGUACCAGUUUGUACCUUAGUACACAACAUUGAUCAUGUAUUUAUGUUAAGUUCAAGUAUUGUACUGUUUGUCCUGAACAAUAGAUGUGCUCCAUCUUAAUGACUAAAUUAUUGUAAUUGCUGGGGAGUUCUUGUGUUAUUAAAAUGUUGUAUUCGGUUGUUCCGGAAAGAUCCGACUUGCCCCAAGGAGGAAAUUUCUGCCGUCAGAGGGGAAAUAAAAUUUGUUUCUGAUAAUAGUAAGUUUAUUAGGACAUCCAUAGGGGGGUGGGGGGUGGGGAGGGGGCUUCAAAUUUUCUUGCCGAAAUGAUUUUGAGGUUUUGUAAUUAACAAAUAGGUAAUUAUCAUUUUGUCAUUGUCUGUUCCGUUAUUUUGAUACUAUCGAAAAUGUAUCAAAAUCAUCGAUACUUACAAAAGUGUCGAUACUUUCGAUACUCGUAAAAAGUAUCGGUAAUUCAAUACCACUUGAGCCUGCAAUGUUUUUGUCAGUAUUCCUGACCAAUCUCUUAAUACUUCAUGAAGGCAACAGACUGAAGGCAAACAAAAACAAAAACAUGUAGCUAAUUAGCAAUAUAUUUAAGGAAAACAUUGAACACGUUGAUAUUGUUUAGAUUUAAAAUCAUAAUUGCAAAUGUUAUUUUUGAUUAUUUGGCAGGUACUCCAGUUAGAGUAUUCUCUGACUUGUUAACAUUAAAGAUGCGGUACAGUCCGAUCAAGGCUUGAUGUUCAAGGCAAUAAAAUUAUAUUGUCUAAGGGCCUGUUCAUAUGAUCCCGCUUACCGGGACGUCUCGCUUACCGAUGAUCUCGCCGCCUAUCUAUUUUCCUAUAAAAUUUUGCAUUGUGUUCAUAUGAGAAAGCGAGCUGGCCCGCUUGCCGAGAUCUCGUUUGAAUUUGCCGAGAUCAUAGGUAGGCGGGAUGAAAAUUUUUCCAUAUGAACACGCCAGCCCGCUUACCGGGAUGAAGUGAAACAAGUCUUGCCGGUUUAAUUUAACACUUUUUACUUGGUUUUAUGUUUGUUUUGUAAACAAGUAUUAAAUAACCACCUGAAGCAAUACUUUUUCUUGUAAAUAAACGAAGAAAAACACUAAAAUCGCCAAGUAUUUGUGUUGCUUGACUGAAAUGUAGAAGUUUUGCAUACGCUAAUUAUAGAACUACAAUGUAAUUUCAUCUCGGCAAGCGGGACGAAAUACUCCAUAUGAACGCACGGAAAUAUUCGUCUCGGUAAGCGGGACAUCCCGGUAAGCGGGAUCAUAUGAACAGGCCCUAAACAAGAAAUGUAAAAUUCAAGAUCACCAUUUUCUUCAAAAUUUAAAUUUCUUUUCAAUUCCCAUAAUAAAAAAAACUGUAAGGAAAUUUGGGAGCCCUGAUAAAUGUCUGCCUAUUAUAUAUUGCCUGUGGCCCAAUGCAGUCCUAUAUAUGCCCAGUUUUCUAAGUUUGAAAUCUCUUGCUCUGUAUAUUUAAUUAUAGGCAUGCAGAUGUUACUCUUAAGGGGAAAGUAUUGGACAUUAACCCAUUGAAUGGCAGCAUCAAAUAAAAUCAUGUGGCAAUAGACAGGGUAGAAUAACAAAGUAGGGCACAAAAAGGGUUUUAACCCAGGUGGUUGCACUCUCGAUCCCCCUGACGAGUAAAAUCGUCUGGAGUACGUAGACAGAGUAAUUAAUUAAUAAAGUAGGGCGCAUGUGGACGCAUUGCCACUUACAGGGUUAAACCAGGAUACAUUGCCAGUCUGAUUAACUCAUAUUGAGUGGUAGCACUCUCCCUUUGACAAGUAAAAUUGUCUGGCAUUAUAGGCAGAGUAAAAUAUAAUAAAGUAGGCACGCAUCGGGUGCAUUGGGUCAUUUCUCCAACAUGAAGGAAAUUGGAAGUCAACCCCCCUAACCCCUUCAGACGUCCUAAUAUAUACUUAAGUACUAUAUAUUAUUAGAAACAAAUUUUUCUUCCUAAUUCCCCUUCCGGAUGACAGAAAUUUCCUCUUUUGUGGGAGUAUGGAUCUUUUCUGGAACGAUCCAUUGCGGCAUUGCCACUUAAAUGGUUAAUGUUCUGCCCAUAUUGUUGACUCAUGAAGCUGCAAUGCAUACUCUACUACUGUUCCCUACUAUGUUAUUUUAACCUACCCUCAGCUGAAGAUAAGUAUUCUAAAUCUAAAUUAUGCUUGGGCAUGAGUUAGUACUCGCAGUGUAGUGCUGGUAUGAAAGAGCCUGGGUACAAGGUUGUGGAUGUUCCAGUACAUUUUACUGACUAAUAUCAGAUUUUAAGACACACCUUACCAUCCCCUUGCAUCCUAGAACAACUAAAUUAGAUGUGUUGAUAUUUGAUAUAAUCAUGAUUGUAAUUAUAGAUCAUACAGUGUUUCAUUAAUUUCAGCUUGUUUCUUUAAUAGGACCAAAGACGAUAUUUUUCUGGGCACCAACAUUUAAAUGGGUUAGUAACAUUCUUGUUGUGCAUGUUCAACAAGCGAAAACGAGUUAGAUGCAUUUUAUAAAGCUUUUUAAAAUGAUAAAAUAAUCUAUCUUGCUG